GAGACGCCGACUCCCCCCACCGACCCUCUCGCCCCGCGGAGGGAUAUCUCUCGUCACUUCCGCCCUCCCCUUCUCGUGCUCUUUUGAUUGGCUGGAGAAUGUGCUACGUCAUCGCUCAUCCUAACCGUCGUCCGGGCCUCUUUCCUAAUCAAGUUUGUGUGGUCCUGCAAAUAAAUAAAUAAAGAAAAGAUUUCAUGGAGAAAAGAAUAAUUAGCUUCCCAAGCAGUAUCCAAAUUUUGCAGAGAAAAAUGGGACUCCCAAAGGAAAUGUUUUCCAAUUUACUUUUUUUAGACUUUACAGAGGAAUUUGGCCUCUCCCUACUUUGCACUCUAGGUUUAUUCCCAACCAAGAGAACUUCAUGCCACAGCAAGAUGUCUGUGCCCUGGGAGACACUUCUGACCCAUGAUAGUAUGAAUGAUGGUGCUGUGUCUUAAAAAAUGGAAGAACAUGCUGAAUGUAAAAAGGAGACAUCUCUGAAGGAAUGGAUGAGCAAACAGAAGGUCUGUGUGUGUGCCUCAAAUGUGCAGGUACCUGCUGAAGACAGCAACAGUUCCCUGGGAGCUGGAGUUACAGGAGGUUGUGAGCUGUUGGAUGCGGUGAUGGAAAGUGAACUCUAGUUCUCUGGAAAAGCAGAAGUCCUCUCAUUGAUUGAGCCACAUCCAGCCCCUGUUUCAUUUAAUUUUGUUUGAAGCAUCUCUCAAUAAAAGAAGUACCGUGUCUACGUAAGCAA